rnacentral:rRNA from 1 species
AAAGGAAUUGACGGGGCCCGCACAAGCGGCGGAGCAUGCGGAUUAAUUCGAUGCAACGCGAAGAACCUUACCAAGGCUUGACAUACACCGGUAACGCCCAGAGAUGGGUGCCCCUUUGUGGUCGGUGGACAGGUGGUGCAUGGUUGUCGUCAGCUCGUGUCGUGAGAUGUUGGGUUAAGUCCCGCAACGAGCGCAACCCUCGUCCUAUGUUGCCAGCGGGUCAUGCCGGGGACUCAUGGGAGACUGCCGGGGUCAACUCGGAGGAAGGUGGGGAUGACGUCAAAUCAUCAUGCCCCUUAUGUCUUGGGCUUCACGCAUGCUACAAUGGCCGGUACAAAGGGCUGCGAUACCGCGAGGUGGAGCGAAUCCCAGAAAGCCGGUCUCAGUUCGGAUUGGGGUCUGCAACCCGACCCCAUGAAGUCGGAGUCGCUAGUAAUCGCAGAUCAGCAACGCUGCGGUGAAUACGUUCCCGGGCCUU